AAAUUGAAGAGUUUGAUCAUGGCUCAGAUUGAACGCUGGCGGCAGGCCUAACACAUGCAAGUCGAACGGUAACAGGAAGCAGCUUGCUGCUUUGCUGACGAGUGGCGGACGGGUGAGUAAUCUCUGGGAAACUGCCUGAUGGAGGGGGAUAACUACUGGAAACGGUAGCUAAUACCGCAUAACGUCGCAAGACCAAAGAGGGGGACCUUCGGGCCUCUUGCCAUCGGAUGUGCCCAGAUGGGAUUAGCUAGUAGGUGGGGUAAAGGCUCACCUAGGCGACGAUCCCUAGCUGGUCUGAGAGGAUGACCAGCCACACUGGAACUGAGACACGGUCCAGACUCCUACGGGAGGCAGCAGUGGGGAAUAUUGCACAAUGGGCGCAAGCCUGAUGCAGCCAUGCCGCGUGUAUGAAGAAGGCCUUCGGGUUGUAAAGUACUUUCAGCGGGGAGGAAGGGAGUAAAGUUAAUACCUUUGCUCAUUGACGUUACCCGCAGAAGAAGCACCGGCUAACUCCGUGCCAGCAGCCGCGGUAAUACGGAGGGUGCAAGCGUUAAUCGGAAUUACUGGGCGUAAAGCGCACGCAGGCGGUUUGUUAAGUCAGAUGUGAAAUCCCCGGGCUCAACCUGGGAACUGCAUCUGAUACUGGCAAGCUUGAGUCUCGUAGAGGGGGGUAGAAUUCCAGGUGUAGCGGUGAAAUGCGUAGAGAUCUGGAGGAAUACCGGUGGCGAAGGCGGCCCCCUGGACGAAGACUGACGCUCAGGUGCGAAAGCGUGGGGAGCAAACAGGAUUAGAUACCCUGGUAGUCCACGCCGUAAACGAUGUCGACUUGGAGGUUGUGCCCUUGAGGCGUGGCUUCCGGAGCUAACGCGUUAAGUCGACCGCCUGGGGAGUACGGCCGCAAGGUUAAAACUCAAAUGAAUUGACGGGGGCCCGCACAAGCGGUGGAGCAUGUGGUUUAAUUCGAUGCAACGCGAAGAACCUUACCUGGUCUUGACAUCCACGGAAGUUUUCAGAGAUGAGAAUGUGCCUUCGGGAACCGUGAGACAGGUGCUGCAUGGCUGUCGUCAGCUCGUGUUGUGAAAUGUUGGGUUAAGUCC
rnacentral:rRNA from 1 species